rnacentral:piRNA from 2 species
UCCCUCAGUAACGGCGAGUGAACAGGAA